GAUGAAGAACGCAGCGAAAUGCGAUAAGUAAUGUGAAUUGCAGAAUUCAGUGAAUCAUCGAAUCUUUGAACGCACAUUGCGCCCGCCAGCAUUCUGGCGGGCAUGCCUGUUCGAGCGUCAUUUCAACCCUCAAGCUCUGCUUGGUGUUGGGGCCCUACGGUUGACGUAGGCCCUUAAAGGUAGUGGCGGACCCUCUCGGAGCCUCCUUUGCGUAGUAACUAACGUCUCGCAUUGGGAUUCGGAGGGACUCUUGCCGUAAAACCCCCAAAUUUUCUAAUGGUUGACCUCGGGUCAGGUAGGAAUACCCGCUGAACUUAAGCAUAUCAAUAAGCGGAGGA
rnacentral:misc_RNA from 1 species